GAAGGUAUAGUUCAAGUGGUAGAGUGUAUGUUUAGUAUACACAAGGUCCUGGGUUCAAUUCCCAGUACCUCCU
rfam:Camelus ferus unplaced genomic scaffold scaffold765, whole genome shotgun sequence.